GAUAAACGCUGGCGGCGUGCCUAAUGCAUGCAAGUCGAACGGGUCGCAGCUUCGGCUGUGGUCAGUGGCGGACGGGUGAGGAACACGUACGCAACCUGCCCUCUGGUGGGAAUAACCCUUCGAAAGAGGGGCUAAUGCCGCAUCCGCUCACCUGGGUAAGGCUGGGUGAGGAAAGCCCGUGAGGGCGCUGGAGGAGGGCGUGCGGCCGAUUAGCUAGUU
rnacentral:rRNA from 1 species